rnacentral:rRNA from 1 species
AAAAAUAAAGAAAUCAAGUGAACAGGAAAAAUCAAAAGAAUAUAACCGUACUGUAAACCGCCACUGGUGAAGGAGUAGAAAUCUACUAAGGUGAUCGAAAGAACCAUUUUUAAGGAACUCGGCAAAAUGACCCCGUAACUUAGGGAGAAGGGGGACCUCUAUAAUAAAGAGACUGUUUUCUUUUGAAAAUAUUAUUAUGAGGUGGCACGAAAUCGGGGGUAGCAACUGUUUAACAAAAACACAAGACUUUGCGAAGUUGUAAAACGCUGUAUAAGGUCUGACACCUGCCCGGUGCUGCAAACUUAAAGGGAAAGGUGAAGUAUAUGAUAGUUUUCUAUCGUGUAUGGAGCUCCGAACUGAUUGUUCAGUAAACGGCGGUCGUAACUCUAACGAUCCUAAGGUAGCGAAAUUCCUUGUCCACUAAUUAUGGACCUGCAUGAAUGGUGUAAUGACUGCCCCGCUGUCUCAAAAAUGGAUUCGGUGAAAUUGAAUUCUCCGUGAAGAUGCGGAGUGUAAGCGCCUAGACGGGAAGACCCUGUGC